UACGUAGGCAGCGAGCGUUGUUCGGAGUUACUGGGCGUAAAGAGUGCGUAGGCGGUGCGGCAAGUCUGGUGUGAAAUCUCCCGGCUUAACUGGGAGGGUGCGCUAGAAACUGCCGUGCUAGAGUGUGGGAGAGGUAAGCGGAAUUCCUGGUGUAGCGGUGAAAUGCGUAGAUAUCUGGAGGAACACCGAUGGCGAAGGCAGCCUUCUGGGCCAACACUGACGCUCAUGCACGAAAGCGUGGGGAGCAAACAGG
rnacentral:rRNA from 1 species